AUAAUUAAUUAUAAAUAAUAAAAGGGUAGCUAACAAACAUGAGACGUGUCUUUACUCUAAAUACUUUAAAGUGAAUGCUUAGCAUGGACAAUUCUUUACUUAAAUAAAAUGUGACAUGUCGAUGUAAUUUCAUGUGUCAUUUUGCCUUUUAAAGGAGCUGUCCAAAGAAAACCCUACACCACCAUAAUAAUACUUUUGGGUCUGUUGAGCUUCCUGGUGUUAGUGGAUAUCGGCGUUCAACUCAAAAUCUGUAGGAAAAAAGGGUUUUGAUCUCAUCUCAUGAACCACCGUAACCUGGAAGAACAAUUAUUUUAACCCCUAGUUUCUUUUCCCAUUUCUUUGAUUGUUUCAUUAGGUCAUUCAGGUAUUGAGAAACCAAACAAAACCCAUUUUGAGAAUCACACACAGGCACAAACAGGUGAGAAAAAUCGAUCAGUUUUAAAAUAUUUUCAUGAUCUGAGGUAAAUUGAAAAAUAACAAAAAUUGACGAUAAGUUUCUUGCUGCACUAAUUUUGGGCCUACUGUGCCUCCUGUUGUUGGUGGGGAUUGGUGUGCUACUCAUACUCUGUAAGCAAAACCUCAUCUUUAUUUGAUUAUUAUCUCAGUAGUCAAAAAUAUUUUAUGCAGAUCUGCCAAUUAGUUUGAAAUCUAAACAACCCAAUCUAACAUGUCAGAACCAAACGAAAGAAAAACAGAACCAGAGCGACACAGGUAAGACAUUUAUUUGUUAAAGCUUUUUUUUUUUUUUAUGUGUAAUAUUACUUUCUUUUUAAUGUGGUAUUAUAUGAUCUUCAGUACUUUGCAAGAAAACAAAACUAACAGUAAGUCGCUUUUUAAAGAAUGGCAGGAGUUUCGUCUGUCACAUUUUUACUACGCGUCCGCUGAGAAGAAAAACUGGACAGAGAGCAGGAAAAACUGUCAGAGGAGAGGAGGAGAUCUGGUGAUAAUAAACAGCUUUGAAAAACAGAAGUUUAUUCAAAGAAUGAAGAUACAUGGAGAUUCCUGGAUUGGUCUUCAAACAUCAGACAAAUGGAACGUGAAAUGGAAGUGGGUAGAUGGAUCAGAACCAAGAUAUAGUGCCUGGAAACAAGGAGUAAAUAUAAAUCCAGAGGCUGAGUCCAGAGGAUAUAUUGAUCAACCGGGACUAUGGAUGCGCAACAAAAAUGGAUUAAAACACUGGAUCUGUGAGAAGAAACAUUAUUAAGCAUCUUGGUGACCUUCCUGCCUAACGUGUAAUCUCUAUCUGCUAUGUUAAAUCUUUACAAAAAUAUCUCUCUCCAUUGGUCUUAUUUAUAAAACACUGAGUAGGUUCUAUACUAAAAGAAUAGAACCUAAAAGCC